rnacentral:lncRNA from 1 species
UGUGUUGCCCAGGCUGCUCUUGAACUCCUGGACUGAAGCAAUCCUCCUGACUCAGGUUUCCCAAAGUGCUGGGAUUACAGAACUCACGUGCUGUGUGUCAGACUGAGCUUUCCCUGAUUCAUUCUACAAUCCAAGACUUGCUGCACUGUCCUGCUGAUGUUCACAGCCGUGCCUGGGAAGAAGGCAGCCCCACUCCCAGUACAUUUCAGUGGGAGACCUCUGCGUGCAUCCAUGGAGACGCAAUGGGGCGGGGAAGGAACUGUGGGAGUGCACGUUCCAAAUCCUGUGUCUCCACGUGUGGAUCAGCAGCACCUCGCUUUCUUGUCAGAGACCUCGCUGUUACGGAGCGAGACCUGCUGAGAAUUGAGGGGCUGAGGGAACCCCUCCACCUCCUCCCUUCUGCAGCGCCCUGCGCCCCACCCAGCAACAGCGGCCACUUGGCAGUGGGGCUGCUGCAAGCUCAGAGCCGCUGCCACCCUGCAUGUGUCCGCUCAGCUCGGUCUUAUGCUGUAUAGUUACUAAAUAUGUACAGGAGGGCCAUGGCAUCUUUCUGAAUGGAUUUUUCUUAAGAAAUGCGCCAGUGUUUAUGAGGUUCAAGGUAUUUCCCUGUCCUUGCUGUUACCGUCACUCAGCUUUUUCUCGAUAGGCUUCAUCCUUGUUUUUUUGAAAUGGGGGAAUUUGCUGUUUACCCUCUGCAUUCCUAUAUGUGACCCUCCCUCCUACUCCUCCAAGGAACAGAAUUACCGAGGUUCUGACAAAAGAUAAGCCUGUAAACUCAUCAUCUGUGUUUUGUGGUUGGAGAGAAACUGGUGUUCUGCCCGGCUCUGCUUGGUCACAGACAGCUCCAGCAAGAGCAGUUGUUAAAAGUGCCAAGCGUGUGUAUCACUGUGACAAGCCGUUUGCUUACUGCCCUGUUCCCUUGCAGCCAAACCAGCUGAUGAAGAACUGCUGCCAGGUGGGUCCUACAGCAGGUCACAAAUGACCUAGUUUCAUUUUAAGCAGACAGACUCUGUUUGGCCUAGAGGUGUGGAGUGAGAGAACUGUGUUUGUGGGUAUGAGUCUGUGUGGCCAACCCCAUGACCCCCACCCCUCCAGCCCAACAUCUUGUGAGCACAUGUGACCUAGGCCCCGGGGGACCUGCCUGCUCCUUUGGCUUGGGCUCUUCGUGUUUCCCACCUGCCCUCGGCACGAGCCCUUGGUGGCAUCACAGUUGGCCACUCAGCUGUGCUGAGUAGCUGUGCUACUUGUGCUGGCAGCUGCAAGGAUAGGAAUAGCUCAGCGCCCGAUGAGCUCCCUGAGCAGAUGUGAGGCUGGCAACUCCCCUGCCCUCUGUUUGCAGGCACAGGGUCACAGUCCCAAGAAAGACAACUGGAGUCUGAUCUCCCAGCCAUCUCUGGGGUUACUAGGAGGCAGCUGGAUGGCAGAUACGAGAGGCCCAAAUAGCCAAGCUGUUGCAAGACAGAGUGGCUACAAUUGAAUUGACACCCUGGGAAGCACGAGGUAACUUGGUAAGGAUAAUGAUGCUGUAGAUGUCUGUGUCCUCGGAGGCUGAGCUCCGCUUGGCAGAGAGAGCGUGCUGUGUGAGGUGGAGGGCGGUUUUGCAGACAUCUCAGCUUCUUUUCUGAGGAGGAGUUGGUUCUCAUCUUAGGCUUCUGCAAGGGCGAGCAUGGGAUGUCUCCACCACCACCCACUCUUGGAGCUGUGCUGGGUCUUGGCUUGGGGCGCUGAGGGUGGGGCCUGUGUCAGAAGCAUUUGGUGAGAGGGGUGGAGGUGGCAGGCAGGGGUUCUCCUCAGGGUUCCCACUGAGGGGUCCCUUCAGCAAAGACCUGGGAGGAGGUGCCGCAUCACGUGGAUGUUUCUUCCCUAAAGAAAAAGACACAGGAAAGCUGUCUGUCUGUACCCUGCUCUGGAUUUAUUGUCGUACUUGGACCCAGAAGGGGAAAUGAUUCCCUCACCCUUUCACUUUCUCUCUGAACCCCUACUAAGUGGUGACUGCAGAUUCUGGAAACAAUUAGCUGCCCGUGACUCAGCUGCCAGCUUCAUUUUCUCUGCCUUUUGGGAGAGGCCCUCUCACCCAGGCCCAAGAGAUUUGGAGACAGGAGUCAGGCCAGGUCUGAAGCAGGAGAAGGGAGGCCCCUCCUAUCUACCCAGUUGACAUUUGGCUUUGGGAAAAGCGCAGCUUGUUCGAGCCACGUGUGCCAAGCAGGCUUUUCCUUCCUCUUGUAAGUAAAGCUCGUGGUUCUGUAGUCCAGUCAUCCUAGGAGGGUGAUGUUGACUGAGACUUCACGCUCUCCCUUUGUCUCUGGAAACUGCCCCCUCGUUCUGACAGAAUCCCCCAGGCAAUGGAGGAAGGGUGCCGAGGCGCCUCUAGUCUGUGCCUUUGCCGUUGGAAGCAUUUGGUGCUGAGAGGGUUUCCCAGCCACCCGCUCCCUUUCUGGGGCCAUGGUGUCCCUGCUGUGUGUCAGUGGCAUGUCACUGUGGUUCAGUGAGCACAUGGGUGGACGUGCAGAGACUGUCUGCGCAGCCCCCAGCAGACAUGCCCCUGGGGUGAGGACACAGGCUCUGCAGGCUAUCUCCCCCUCUGGCUCAGUCAUCGCCUGCCCACCCUUCACUUCUUAAAGGUGCGCAAGAGAGGAGGGCCGACUGGAGGGUGUCGCCGGAAGGUUUCAGCCUGCCCUUCACAAUUCCCCUUGUGCACAGCCCAGUUUCCAUCUCUCAGGGCCCACCCAGGAAAAUGGAUUUCAAGUGGGGGUUUUCAUCCAGAGAUUUGUUUAACACAAAACAAGAAAAGCUGAGAGGCAAAACAGGGGAGUGAGGGGCAACCCAGAGGUGGGGAACAACAACAGCAAGCCGCCCCCAUCCUGAGACUGGCUGGGCACCAGGGGAGGACGCGUCACCAGAGCCUGGGGCCAAGGCCACUGGGGGACCUGCCACACUGUGGACCUGUCUGGUGGGGGCUGGAGCCUCGAGAAGCCAUGAUUCUUGUCAGAAACAUUUCCCCAGGCAGAGAGAGGGGGCCCCAGCCUCUCCCCUCCUCUUGGCCUCCAGAGUCCUGCAGGUGCCUCACAGUAGUGAAACCCAGUUGGAAGCAGCUGCCCUGGGAGCCUGGGACAGGCGACCCACCGGGUCAGUCCCCUGCCACUCAGAGCAGAGCAGGGGGCUGAGGGCAAGCAGGUGGGGCUGUGCGUGGCCUCAGUGCACUCGGUGUCAUGUCUGAGCCUGGUGUUUAUGCCCCACUGCUGUCCUAAGUCCCUGGCGAGGGGAGGUGGAGGAGCUGCCCCGUGGGUGUUUGGAGAUUCUGUUUUACUCUGCCUAGAGAGGAAACGGCUUUGGGGAGGGAGGGGGAAGCCUUUAUUCUUUACUGUUGUCCCUGUUUUCCUUUGGGGGAAUUUACUCAGUUAGCAGCCCCUCCUCACCAUUCCCCCCAGGAAGGCCAUGUCCCAGUUUUCUGUCCACCCCUCCUGUUCCUCUGCACUAUGUCUCUGAUUUUCCCUGCCAGGGAAGCUAACCCAGAGCACGCACCUGUGCUCAUGAGUGUUUCCGCAGGAUAAUUCGUUCUGAGCAUGAUACCACAGUGUGGAUUGUCUGUCUGUAAGGAGAUGCCAUCUACUAACCAAUUUGUAUUGUGUUUCCAAUAAAUUCCUGGAAAUUUU